rnacentral:rRNA from 1 species
UACGUAGGGUGCGAGCGUUAAUCGGAAUUACUGGGCGUAAAGCGUGUGCAGGCGGUUCGUUAAGUUCGUCGUGAAAGCCCCGGGCUCAACCUGGGAAUGGCGAUGGAAACUGGCGGGCUGGAGUGUGGCAGAGGGGGGUGGAAUUCCGCGUGUAGCAGUGAAAUGCGUAGAGAUGCGGAGGAACACCGAUGGCGAAGGCAGCCCCCUGGGCCAACACUGACGCUCAGGCACGAAAGCGUGGGGAGCAAACAGG